UGUACCACUGGCAUUUAUAUUGCUAUUCUUCUUUGUCAUAAAAGCAGUCACCUUGUAACCCUUUUUAUCAAGUAAUCUAUGCACUACCUAAAAGUACACUAGACUCCAUCAGGCAAGCUAUAGGUUUACAUUAUAUAAACAUUCCAAUUCUGCCUGCUCAGCACUAGUUGUCGAUAAACGCAAGCCAUUGCAAAACAGCAAAGUAGGGAGGGAAGCAGCUUGCUACAGUGAUGCCCGUGUUCUAGAUGUUUUGGCUGUUAUCUCGUCUGCUUCUCUCUGGGGGAAUAACUAACCCUAUAACUAACUAACUGCCUUGCUCCAUGACAUACUGACAGCAGGAAACACUGUGUAAUCAUACAAAGUGCCUGAAUACAAAGGUAUGGCCACACCAUACCCACGGCAGCUUUCUUGCCUUCAAAAGAGGAAGAAAAGAAAUAGAAACUAACUUGUAUUUAUCAAUUAAACCAGGAAUAGUUUAUAUUUAUCAAUUAAAUGGAAGAAGCAUUCAGAUUAAAAUAGUUCGCUUGUCCACUUUCCCAGCUCCAUUUCUUUAAUAAGAAUAAUAAAUAAAUACAUCUUUUAUCUCAAGUUUAACUUUCAGGUAUGCCUUGCACAUAACAAGAAUUUAACACAUAAUUACUAAAUGUUUGACUAAAUGAUUAAAUGACAGAAAAUUCCAAGGCCAACCUCUUGAUCAAAUGAGAUCAAGGGCUUGUGCUGGCCUCCAACUUUUAUAUUCCAACUUUAAAAAUACUCUAUUUCCUGUGCACUUCUUUAACUGUUUUGGUGUUCUGAAACUCCUAAAGUAACAAGCCAUUAAUUAAAUCUGUUAGGUCUUAAGAGAAGUAGGAUGAUCUCAUUAAACAUUGAAAGAUAAUCAACCAAUGAAAUUUCCUACAAAAACCCAUUGGAAACACUGAAUAUAUAUAUGGACAAUUCAGAUGGGCUAGAG
rnacentral:lncRNA from 1 species